rnacentral:piRNA from 1 species
GACCAACGAGGCAGAGAAUUCUGGACU